GAUGAAGAACGUAGCGAAAUGCGAUAAGUAAUGUGAAUUGCAGAAUUCAGUGAAUCAUCGAAUCUUUGAACGCACAUUGCGCCCCCUGGUAUUCCGGGGGGCAUGCCUGUUCGAGCGUCAUUUCACCACUCAAGCCUCGCUUGGUAUUGGGCAACGCGGUCCGCCGCGUGCCUCAAAUCGACCGGCUGGGUCUUCUGUCCCCUAAGCGUUGUGGAAACUAUUCGCUAAAGGGUGUUCGGGAGGCUACGCCGUAAAACAUCCCCAUUUCUAAGGUUGACCUCGGAUCAGGUAGGGAUACCCGCUGAACUUAAGCAUAUCAAUAAGCGGAGGA
rnacentral:misc_RNA from 1 species